GAGGAAGGUGUGUGAGGCUGAGGAAGGUGUGUGAGCCCGGGGAAGGUGUGUGAGGCUGAGUAAGGUGUGUGAGGCUGGGAAGGUGUGUGAGGCUGAGGAAGGUGUGUGAGGCUGGGAAGGUGUGUGAGGCUGGGAAGGUGUGUGAGCCCGAGGAAGGUGUGUGAGGCUGGGGAAGGUGUGUGAGGCUGGGAAGGUGUGUGAGCCCGGGGAAGGUGUGUGAGGCUGGGAAGGUGUGUGAGGAAGGUGUGUGCCGGGUGCUGCCCCCGGCACGGAUGCGGUGGCACCGUGCGCGUCCCCUCCCCAGCUCUGCCUACAAAAGGAUCGCGGCACCCCCGGCACCGCGCACCCCACCCGGCCUCGCCCCUGCUCCCAUGCCCGGACAGACGGCAUGAAGAAAUCCUCGUAUUCAGGAAUCACCCGGACCUCCAGCGGGAGACUUCGGAGGCUCAGUGACCAGACAAGUCCAAUGCACAGACCACUGAACACCCAUUUGAACAGACCUUUGAGAAGAAAACUGAGAAUAAUGUCUCAGAAAACGAAGAAAAAUGGGAAAUCCCAGCCCUGGAACAUGUGGAAACACACCUCUGAAGGGAACAAACCCUGAUGUUGACAUCACCAGCACGGGGUACCCCUCUCUCAAUCACAGGCACCCCAUUAUUUGCCUUUUAGUGCUUUGUGAGCAUUGCUUUGGAGGCACAGACUGCACCUUUAAAGUGAAUCCAUUAAAAUUUUCAUGAGCACUUCAGGUCUGACUGAGAGCAGCUACCUGGAGGUUUUGUGCAUUUCAAGUUCAGCUGCAUUAACCAUAGUUUGGGCUCUCUUCCCUGAGUGCCUCCUGGUGAUCUGCCCUGCAAGGAAUGGUGCCUUUAUCCUUCCCAGCACCUGGAUCAUGAUGGGUUAAAGUCUGGAGGCUAAAAUGCAUGCUGCCCCCAUCCCUUCUUCCUUUCCAUUCACCUUCUUCCUUUCUCCACACUUCCCUGGGGUUUUUCCCUUCCUCUCCAGCCUCAGGAGCUUGGCCAUGAGGCUGCUUGGUGGAGGCAGUGCAGUGGGGUUUGUGCUCCGUGGGGCUGUGCACUCCCCCGUGUCCUUGCUUUGUGUUCAGCACCUCUGAGGUCUCGGGCAGGAAAUGUGGUUUGAGCCUGGCAAUGGGAAAAUAUUGCUUAUUGUCCCCUCCAGAGCCUUGGGCUGUGGCAGCAGGAGCACACAGAGCUCCGAGUGAACAGGAUUUGGGAAGGAAUCUAAACUCCUCUGCCCAGGGAAUAACAUGCUGAGGGGGAGAAGACAUUGGAGAGGAACUUCCCGAAGGACUGGGCUGUCU
rnacentral:lncRNA from 1 species